UACGUAGGGUGCGAGCGUUAAUCGGAAUUACUGGGCGUAAAGCGUGCGCAGGCGGUUUUGUAAGCCAGAUGUGAAAUCCCCGGGCUUAACCUGGGAAUGGCAUUUGGGACUGCAAGGCUGGAGUGCGGCAGAGGAGACUGGAAUUCCUGGUGUAGCAGUGAAAUGCGUAGAUAUCAGGAGGAAUACCGAGUGGCGAAGGCAGGUCUCUGGGCUGACACUGACGCUCGAU
rnacentral:rRNA from 1 species